rfam:Trichobilharzia regenti genome assembly, scaffold: TRE_scaffold0055901
GUACUGCUGAAGAGUCCCAAACUAGGACAAAAUAGCUGUCCAGUAC